GAUGAACGCUGGCGGCGUGCUUAAUACAUGCAAGUCGAGCGAACAGACGCGGAGCUUGCUCCUCUGACGUUAGCGGCGGACGGGUGAGUCACACGUGGAUCCCCUACCUAUCAGACUGGUAUAACUUCGAGAAUCCGGCGCUUAUACCGGAUAAUCUAUUGCACCGCAUGGUUCGAUAGUGAAAGACGGUUUUUCUGUCACUUAUCGCUGGAUCCCCGCCGCUUUAGCUAGUUGGUACGGUAACGGCUUACCAAGGCAACGAUGCGUAGCCGACCUGAGAGGGUGAUCGGCCGCCCUGGAAGUGGGACGGGGUCCAGAGGCCUACGGGAGGCAGCAGUAGGGAAUCGGCCGCAAUGGGCGAAAGUAUGACGGAGCAAGGGCACGCGAGAGAUGGAGAUGUUCCGUGCGGAAAAACGGGUUAUGAGUGAUAAACCAAUUUGGAAGGUACUAAGCACGGAGUGACGGUACCGAAUCAGAAAGCCACGGCUAACUACGUG
rnacentral:rRNA from 1 species